GUGGAUAUGGCGAAGUGGUUAACGCACCGGAUUGUGGCUCCGGCACUCGUGGGUUCAAGUCCCAUUAUCCACC
rnacentral:tRNA from 1 species